AAUACAUGCAAGUAGAACGCUGAAGGAGGAGCUUGCUCUUCUGGAUGAGUUGCGAACGGGUGAGUAACGCGUAGGUAACCUGCCUGGUAGCGGGGGAUAACUAUUGGAAACGAUAGCUAAUACCGCAUAACAGUAGAUGUUGCAUGACAUUUACUUAAAAGGUGCAAUUGCAUCACUACCAGAUGGACCUGCGUUGUAUUAGCUAGUUGGUGGGGUAACGGCUCACCAAGGCGACGAUACAUAGCCGACCUGAGAGGGUGAUCGGCCACACUGGGACUGAGACACGGCCCAGACUCCUACGGGAGGCAGCAGUAGGGAAUCUUCGGCAAUGGACGGAAGUCUGACCGAGCAACGCCGCGUGAGUGAAGAAGGUUUUCGGAUCGUAAAGCUCUGUUGUAAGAGAAGAACGAGUGUGAGAGUGGAAAGUUCACACUGUGACGGUAUCUUACCAGAAAGGGACGGCUAACUACGUGCCAGCAGCCGCGGUAAUACGUAGGUCCCGAGCGUUGUCCGGAUUUAUUGGGCGUAAAGCGAGCGCAGGCGGUUAGAUAAGUCUGAAGUUAAAGGCUGUGGCUUAACCAUAGUACGCUUUGGAAACUGUUUAACUUGAGUGCAAGAGGGGAGAGUGGAAUUCCAUGUGUAGCGGUGAAAUGCGUAGAUAUAUGGAGGAACACCGGUGGCGAAAGCGGCUCUCUGGCUUGUAACUGACGCUGAGGCUCGAAAGCGUGGGGAGCAAACAGGAUUGGAUACCCUGGUAGUCCACGCCGUAAACGAUGAGUGCUAGGUGUUAGACCCUUU
rnacentral:rRNA from 1 species